rnacentral:rRNA from 1 species
ACCCGCUGAAUUUAAGCAUAUAACCAAGGGAGGAAAAGAAACAACAUGGAUUGCUCUAGUAACGGCGAGUGAAUGGGCAAAAGCCCAGCGCUGAUUCUGUUGGCCACUGGUCGCCUGGAAUUGCAGCGGAUAGGUGAGCCUGUCCGUUCGUUCCACGCACCCAAAGUCCCCUUGAGUGGGUCUAUAGUCCAAAGAAGGUGCUACAUCUGUACGGGUGGCGAGACGAUCGGUUGGUUGCUCCUUGGACUCGGGUUGCCUGGGAUCGCUGCCCAAAGUUGGUGGUAGACCUCAUCUAAGAUUUUGACUUCCUCGACGAGGGCAAAGCCGACGGUAACUGUUGGGCAUUUGAUCGGUGUAUUUGCGGCUGGUAUAUGCCGAGAGCUUUGCAGUCGCAUGUUGACAAUCGUGCAGUGGACCAUUCUUUCCGGGCGUGGAACCUUUCGUGCUUUGAGACAUGUCGGCUGUAAGGUUUUGGACGUGGCUUCUCCGCUAUGGUGCGUCAGGUUUUUCGAGCUGUUGUGGCUGCAGGAUGGUCGCGUCCGACUGUCUAUAGUCGUCGAUGGCGCGACAAGAGUGUGGACGCGGCGAGAAGUGCAUCUCGGUGUGAACGUCGACCACCUAUCCGACCCAUCUUGAAACACGGGUCAAGGAGCCUAGCAUAUGCGCGAGUCAUUGGGUGAUAAACCUAAAGGCGUAAUGAAAGUGAAAGUCGCCUCGACGCGACCAGUAUGGGAUCCAUGCGGUUUCUGUGGCCGCACUGCGCACCAUAGCCCCGUUCCCGUUGCUUGCAGUAAGGCGAAGGUAGAGCGCAUACGCUGGGACCCGAAAGAUGGUGAACUAUGCCUGAGCAGGAUGAAGCCAGAGGAAAUUCUGGUGGAAGUCCGAAGCGGUUCUGACGUGCAAAUCGAUCGUCUGACUUGGUUACAGUGGCGGAAGACUAAUCGAACCAUCUAGUAGCUGGUUUUCUCCGAAGUUUCCCUCCCA